UACGUAGGGUGCAAGCGUUGUCCGGAAUUAUUGGGCGUAAAGGGCUCGUAGGCGGUUUGUCGCGUCGGGUGUGAAAACUCAGGGCUUAACCCUGAGCCUGCUUCCGAUACGGGCAGACUAGAGGUAUGCAGGGGAGAACGGAAUUCCUGGUGUAGCGGUGAAAUGCGCAGAUAUCAGGAGGAACACCGGUGGCGAAGGCGGUUCUCUGGGCAUUACCUGACGCUGAGGAGCGAAAGUGUGGGGAGCGAACAGG
rnacentral:rRNA from 1 species